rnacentral:rRNA from 1 species
GACGAACGCUGGCGGCGUGCUUAACACAUGCAAGUCGAACGAUGAAGCUGGAGCUUGCUCUGGUGGAUUAGUGGCGAACGGGUGAGUAACGCGUGAGUAACCUGCCCUGGACUCUGGGAUAACCCCGAGAAAUCGGAGCUAAUACCGGAUAGGACCUCGGAUCGCAUUAUCUGGGGUGGAAAGUUUUUCGGUCUGGGAUGGACUCGCGGCCUAUCAGCUUGUUGGUGAGGUAAUGGCUCACCAAGGCGUCGACGGGUAGCCGGCCUGAGAGGGUGACCGGCCACACUGGGACUGAGACACGGCCCAGACUCCUACGGGAGGCAGCAGUGGGGAAUAUUGCACAAUGGGCGCAAGCCUGAUGCAGCAACGCCGCGUGCGGGAUGACGGCCUUCGGGUUGUAAACCGCUUUUAGUAAGGAAGAAGCCGCAAGGUGACGGUACUUGCAGAAAAAGGACCGGCUAACUACGUGCCAGCCGCCGCGGUAAUAC